rnacentral:lncRNA from 1 species
UGAGCCCUGUUCUCUCGGUGGCGGGGGUGAGAGGAGGGAAGAAGAGGGGAAGGCAGGGCGUGGGGAGAGGAGGGCGUACAGAGCGUUCUUGAGCCUCAAAGGACAUUGACUGAGGGGGUACUCAGAAGAGUGCGCCCAAAGGACUGCUGGGUUGAAGACCAGCGUGACCUAAGAAAAUGACAGUCAUUUCCUGCUGAGGAAGAAGAAGGAGGGACCCGAGAACCCCGGAGACCGACAAAGGCGUCUCCGAGAGCAGAACCUGAAGGGCGGCCGAUGGGUGUACUCAGCUGUAGAGUACCUUCAGGUUCCCCGCUAAGAAGAAAAGGAGCCCUGAAAGCCACCUUUGGUUACUGGCCUGAAAUGCCCUGAGGAACAUAAGCAACGUCAUGGAAUUUUUACAUCAGAUGAGGUCUCUAAUGAGAUGGAAGGUGAAGAAAAUAAGACUAAUUGUGUCUAAACAGAUAUACAGACACUGCAGCCACAAAAAGAUGACCAAACAUUCCUGCCCUAGCAAAGGUGAAUGACUAUUGCUUCUCCAACGACAACUCUUACCCUAUUCCAUUCCUCCUGCUUUCCUGAUGAAAAGUAUUAAGCAAAUCACUGAAUUGCCUCUGCUUUUGACAGCACCAGAAUAAACCCCUGUUUCUUUGGGCCUUCCCCAAAAUCACCUAACACAAGCCAGAAUACUAUAAUAAGCCCUCUUUAACAUUCCCUUUCUGAGAUGCUACAUAAUUACCCAGAGUGUAAAGUUUCCCUCAACACAGCAGCUAAUAACCCUUCAAUAUUUGACAAUAACUGAUUUGGUAGUCUUUGGUGGGCACCACCAGUAUAAAAAAACCUACAUUUAUAAAUUGUACAUGACCAUAGAAGACUUUAGAGCCUAUACUCUAAUGAGAAAUCAAUCCUUAAAGUGAAUGGUAAAAUGGGACAAAAUCUUGGUAUAUUAAAAGCUUGUAGAGAAUUCUCUUGUGGCACAUUAAGUUAAGGAUCUGGGCUUGUCACUGCCAUGGUUCAGGUCACAGCUGUGGCUCCAGGUCGGUCAUGGCCCCAGAACCUCCACAUGCCUUGGGCACAGCCAAAAAAAUAAAUAAGGAGUUCCCACUGUGGCACAGAGGGUAAAGGAUCCAGCAUUAUCUCUGUGGCACGGGUUAUAUACCUGGUCCGGUGCAGCGGGUUAAGGAUCUGGCGUUGUGGCAGCUGCAGAUUCAAUCUCUGGCCCAGGAACUUUCAUUUGCCUCGGGUGUGGCCAAAGAAACAAAAAAUAAAGGAAAAAAAAAAAUUAAAAAGUGAGGUCUUCAGUCACACUAGCCACAUUUCAAGUGCUCAACAAGCCUGUUGUGGCUAAAUGGCUUCCUUAUCACACCAUGCAGCUUUUGACUAAGGAAAAGGAGGAACUGAAACCCUACUAUCUGAAACCACCACUCUGAAAGGCCUCCCCUCUGGCUCUGACUCUCCUCUAAGUCACUGCCCUUCUUCACUCCACCUUGGAAAGUUAGAACCUGUUAUUUAAGACUUAGAUGUGGGGCUCAUAUGAAUUACUUCAGAAAAAGCUUCCAUUUCCUUGAGGGAGUUUCACUUGUAUACAGAAGUGCAGCUUUCUAAGGUGUUAGCCAUCCACUUUAACUCUGUGGGUGUAGUAUUUCUCAGAAGAAAGGCACCAGAGACUUCCUCUAUCUCCAUUUGUCACCCUGUGAACUUUUAUCCCAGUUAAUUAAUUAAUUAAUUAAUUGUCUUUUUAGAGGUUCCCGGGCUAGAGGUCCAAUCGGAGUUAUAGUCACUGGCCUACAACAGAGCUGCAGCAGUGCAGGAUCCGAGCUGUGUCUGUGACCUACACCACAGCUCACAGCAACGCUGGAUCCUUAACCCACUGAGCAAGGCCAGGGAUUGAACCUGCAUCCUCAUGGAUGCUAGUUGGGUUCAUUAACCGCUGAGCAACGACAGGAACUCCUGAGUAGAUUAUUAAACAAUGAAAUUAAUGUGAUUCAAUGUCUAAAAUUGAAGGCAGCUUUAUAAAGUUGUCUCAUUUGUGAAUAGCACAGAGAUUAAAAAUCUCCAGGACAGAAGAAUGAUGGAAUGACAUGAAGCAUCAUGAGGUUUGCAUAUUUUUUCUAGGCCCUAAGUGUGGUUGGCUUUUAUUUACAGUUUUCAGCACAAUUAAGUUUCCUCACAAUGCUUGAUAUGUAUUUUAGACAAGGGUUGUUUGGAGUUGUAUUUUUUUUUUUUUUUUUUAGUAAUCUUUGGUUACUUUAUGAUUUAAUCAGAUUUUCUGUUGUCAAAGUCUUUAGUUACACAUGGCUCCUAAGAAUUGUUUUUUUCUUUCUCACUUCUCAGAAAAGAGUAAAAACCCUCAGCUUUUUGGUAAGCUCUCUAAAGGCAAGGAUGGACAGAACGGAACUAUUGAAUUCCCUUUAUCUUCCAUAGCAUUACUCAUGGGGCUCAAAUAACUUCUCAGUAAAUAUUUGUUGAUUGCUAGAAAUGCUUUUUCUGUAGAUGUUCACAUGUGUUCUAGAUGAAAUUAUCCAGUUUUAUUUUUAUUUUUGUUUAUUUUACUUUUUAUUUUUUUGGCCAUGACCAAGGCACAUGUAAGUUCCAGGGUCAGGGAUCAAACUCGUGCCACAGCAAUAAUCCAAGCUGCUGUGGUGAUAAUGCUGGAUUCUUAACCAGCUGUGCCCCAGGAGAACUCCCAGUUUUAUUUUAAAAGUGUUAAAUGUCUUUGUCUCCCACCAGUGAUGAAGGGCAGCAUCUAAGUUUAUCUCCUUCCUGCUGUAUCCUGAGGAGCUGGAUGGUCCCCUGCCUGAAGGAAGAACCAAAGUAGUGUUGAAUUAAUAGAUAAAUGAAGCUAACUACUUUUUACAGUAAAGUGCUUUAAAAUGAAUAUGUAAUUGCAUUUAUUAAUCCUUGGGAAGAACUCACAUAAAUAUUUUAAGUAUUAAAAAAUAGAGCAAGGGAGUUUUUUCUGUGGCAAUGGGAUCCGAGGUUUCUUGGGAGAACUGAGACACGGGUUCAAUCCCCGGCCUGGCACCAUGGGUUGUUGCCCCAAGUGUGGCUGGGAUCUGAUCCCUGGUGCAGGAGGAACUCCAUAUACAGUGGGGUGGCAAAAAAAAAAAGAGCAAGGAUUUCUCCAGUGGCGCAGCAGGUUAGGGAUCCUGUGUUGUCACUGCAGCAACUUGGAUUGCUGCUGUGGUGUGGGUUCGACCCCUGGCCCAGGAACUUCCACAUAGUGCAGUGCAGCCAAAAGAACAAAACAAAGCAAACAGCCUCACUGAAGGGGCAUAAUUGCCCAAGUACAUUCAGCACUAGGAAGAGCCAUGUUCACCAGAGCUCAGCCAUGGAAACGGGCCUCUGUCAGUUGUGGUCAGGAUGAAUGAAAACAACCUUUGUGAUUCUAAGUCAGCCAGCAUCCAAAUAGAAAACAAAGAGUUCAUAUAUAGUUCACAUUUUCAGGAAAUGACAAAUAGCUUUUCAUUGCAUUUAUGAAUUUCGUAAAUGUCCUUACAGAUUUUCAAUAAAUUUACACAAUAAAUAUUCAAUAAAU